ACAACUUAAAAAACAAAAUAAAAAAAAGAUGAAAAAAACAGCUUAGCAUUUCACUGUGGACUUGCACAGUGAAACACUGAGCAAUUUUAGUUUAUGGUCAAUUAA